CCUCUGGUGGUCCAAUGGUUAAGACUUUGUACUCCCAAUGCAGGGGGCCCCAGGUUUGAUUCCUGGUCAGGGAA
rfam:Ovis aries breed Texel chromosome 11, whole genome shotgun sequence.